UGGGGAAUAUUGCACAAUGGGCGAAAGCCUGAUGCAGCAACGCCGCGUGAGGGAAGACGGUUUUCGGAUUGUAAACCUCUGUCUUUGGUGAAGAUAAUGACGGUAGCCAAGGAGGAAGCCACGGCUAACUACGUGCCAGCAGCCGCGGUAAUACGUAGGUGGCAAGCGUUGUCCGGAAUUACUGGGUGUAAAGGGAGCGCAGGCGGGACUGCAAGUUGGAUGUGAAAUGUCGCGGCUUAACCGCGGAGCUGCAUCCAAAACUGUAGUUCUUGAGUGGAGUAGAGGUAGGCGGAAUUCCGAGUGUAGCGGUGAAAUGCGUAGAUAUUCGGAGGAACACCAGUGGCGAAGGCGGCCUACUGGGCUCUUACUGACGCUGAGGCUCGAAAGUGUGGGGAGCAAACAGG
rnacentral:rRNA from 1 species